GGCAGUGUGGUGCAGUGGUUAGAGUGCUGGAUUAGGACCUGGGAGGUUAGGGUUCAAAUCCCCACUCAGCCA